rnacentral:hammerhead_ribozyme from 1 species
AUCCAACUGACUUGUCCCAAAUAGGACGAAAUGUCGCACAUCGUGGAU